rnacentral:rRNA from 1 species
CACGUAGGGGGCAAGCGUUGUCCGGAUUUAUUGGGCGUAAAGAGCUCGUAGGCGGCUCAGUAAGUCGGGUGUGAAACCUCCAGGCUCAACCUGGAGACGCCACCUGAUACUGCUGUGGCUAGAGUCCGGUAGGGGAGCGUGGAAUUCCUGGUGUAGCGGUGAAAUGCGCAGAUAUCAGGAAGAACACCAAUGGCGAAGGCAGCUCUCUGGGACGGUACUGACGCUGAGACGCGAAAGCGUGGGGAGCGAACAGG